rnacentral:rRNA from 1 species
CCUACGGGAGGCAGCAGUAGGGAAUAUUGCUCAAUGGGGGAAACCCUGAAGCAGCAACGCCGCGUGGAGGAUGAAGGUUUUAGGAUUGUAAACUCCUUUUGUUAGAGAAGAUUAUGACGGUAUCUAACGAAUAAGCACCGGCUAACUCCGUGCCAGCAGCCGCGGUAAUACGGAGGGUGCAAGCGUUACUCGGAAUCACUGGGCGUAAAGAGUGCGUAGGCGGGGUAAUAAGUCAGAUGUGAAAUCCUGUAGCUUAACUACAGAACUGCAUUUGAAACUGUUACUCUGGAGUGUGGGAGAGGUAAGUGGAAUUCUUGGUGUAGGGGUAAAAUCCGUAGAGAUCAAGAGGAAUA